rnacentral:lncRNA from 1 species
GGUCUUGCUGUAUUGCCCAAGGCUGGAGGACAGUGAUGCAAUCAUGGCUCCCUGCAGCCUUGAUCUUCUGAGCUCAGUCCCUGCUUUGAUAACCACAGGCAGCUACGGGAAAGAGUGGGAAAAGUGAGAUAGUCCCAAGAAACAGGCAACAGCAGGGUCUCUUCGAUCAGAAAUUUGGGAGACAAGGAAGGGCUGUUUUGCUGCAAUUCACUUGAUGUCAAAGCAGGAAAGACCUCGGACAAAGCUUCAAGUCUAACCUUUUUUGUUCUCGGGUGAGUAAACCAAGACCAGAGGAUGAGUCUUGCCCAGAAGAGUUUCUAACCAUUCUUCCCCCAGGUAUUUGUUUCCCGGUGAAAUUUGCUUAAAGUUGGAAUUGGCUGAGUGUGGGCCAGAGCUAUGGGCAUUGUUGUGAACACUUGCUUUUAACUGCCCAGUAUCUACUUGCUCUUUAUCUGUAACAGCUCCCUGAUUUUUCCCUGGCACCAUCCCUCUUCUGAUCCCCAGGAAAUGGCUCCAGGUAUGGGCAUGUGGUUCAUGACCACAGUGGUUGGCUCAGAGAUGGCCAUAUGAUGCAAUCCAGGCCAAUGCAUGUCAACCACAGAGCUCUUAGGAACUACUGGUACCCACUGGAGCUGCUGGGCUGGUUAGAUACAAGCCUGGGGCUGCUGAGAGCCAUUUUUGCUAUGACUUGGGGAGCUGCCUGCGAGGAUGCCAACACAAAGGAAAAAAGGUCCAGGUGAUGGAGGAAAACAGAAACCUUAGAACAUAAUUUGAGCAACUUGAUUCAGCUGAGCCUGAAGGCGUGUACCCCUGGGCUUUUCAGUUACAUAAGCCAAUCAGUCCCUUCUGCCUUCCUCUUUUUUUGCUACGAUCAGUUAGAAUCAAGAUUCUGGAUUCAUCCAGGCAUGGUAGGUGAAGGUGUUGGGUAAGCAAAGGCCCAGAAGCAGGAAAAUGCAGAACAAGUUCUGGGAUUUCCAAUGAAUAACCUGCAGUGGGAAGAGGCCAGUAAACUCACUUAAAGCCAGAACCUGGGGAGCUUUGAAUGCCUUGCUAAGUCACUUUGACUUUAUCCUAAGGGUAACAGGGAGCCAUGGGAAAGGACCUGCCAGAGUUGGCAAUGGUGUGGGGCAGUGGGAGUGAGGAUUAUUCUGGAUAUUAAGUCUGGUUCAGGGUUCUCCUGGGAUCCAACUCCAGCCCAGAGUGCAUGCAGUGGUGAGAGAGGGUGUCUUCCCUCAGCACCCGCAGCUUCCAGUCCCUCCUGACUGUCUUAUAAUAACAGUGUUUUCAAUGCAGACCUUCUGGGUUCCCUGCCGCGAAUCACUCAGCCACCCUUCCAGGGAGAAAACAAAAAGCAGUGUUUUUCCGUGUCUAUUUUAGGCUGCUGCCUACAUCUUUGUUCUUCGUGAGGAACACACACUCCCGGGGGGCCCUUUUCUCAGCUGUGGCCCAGCAGUCGGGUCUGGACCACCAGGCUGGGUUCCGUUAUGGGAAAGAACCAGCAGAUGUAAUGGAAUCAUGCCAAUUAGGCCAGGAGCUGCGUGGGGAUGAUGUUAUCAUUAAGUUCCAGAAGACGUGGAGGUGAGGGGGAAGGUAGCUCAUUCCCGUCCACAUGGCUAUCCCAGACGGACUGCCUUUUUUGAUCUGUCCCCUUCGACUAUCCUGAGCAGCUAGGAAGAGCCCACCCUUGCUAUCCCCUGAGGGACAGAAUUUAGAAGUCUGCAUUGUAUGAGACACUUGUGCUCAUUUUACUGUUGGGCUGAAAGCAGAAGUAGAAAUUCUAUGGCAAAUGGGUGGAUCCAGCCCACCCAUUUUACAGAUGGUAAAACUGAGGCCUGAAGAGGAAGCAUAGUUUGUUCAGGUUUAUAGAACAUUUGGUGGCAAUCUAUGACCAAAAAGACCAGAACAUAAAAUCUCAGAGGGCAUGUACCUUAUCUGUCUUGGUCAACAUCGUGUCCCAUCACAAAACAUAGUACAUGGCAAAUAAUAGGCCCUUGAUAUACAUUGGAUGAAUGAACAACAUCUCUACUGCUGUUUUCAGCUUUCACAAAGAAUUCUCUCACACAUUCCCUCAUUUCAACGUCAUGAUUGUCUUUGUAGCCAAGAAUUGCUUUUGUCCUUAUUUUGCAGGUGAGGAAAUGGAAGUUAAGAGAGGCUUAGUUGCCUAUCCGAGAUCACACAGCCUAGGUAGAGACUGAAUUUGAAUCCAUGUCAUCUUGAUGCAGGCUGGGGCAUCACUUAAAUUUUGGUAGAGGAAGAGACCUUGGAAAUGUCCAGCUGGGAGGUAAAAGCCUUGGUCUACAAGGACAACUCUGACUUUAAUUAUACUACAACAUUUGGAGUGAGGGGAACAAGAAAGCAGGUCCUCAAAAAUGUUCAAAAGAGUUACCAUAUGACCUAGCAAGUCCACUUCUAGGUAUACAUCCAAGAGAAUUGAAAACCUAUGUCUGUGCAAAAAAUUAUACAUUCAUAGCAGCUUUAUUCAUAAUAACCAAAAAGUAGAGACACCCCAAAUGUUCAUCAACUGAUGAAAGAUAAAUAAAAUGUGGCCUAUCCAUACAAUAAAGUAGUAUUCAUCCAUAAAAAGGAACAAAAACGGAUACAAGCUGCACUGUGGGCGAGCCUUGAAAACAUUUUGCUAAGUGAAAGAAGUUAGUCACAAAAGGCCCCAUAUUGUAUGAUUCCAUUUAUGAGAAAUGUCCAGAAUAGGUACACCUAACGAGACAGAAAGUAUAGAUUACUGGUUGCCAGGAGAUGAGGGGAGGAAGGAAUGGGGGGUGACUGUUAAUGGGUACAGGGUUUCUUUUUGGGGUGAUUAGAAUGUUCUAAAAUUAGAUGUGAUGAUGGCUUCACAACUUUUUGAAUAUGCUAAAAACUAUUGAAUUAUACAUUUUAAAUGGGUGAAUUUUAUGGCAUUUGAAUUAUACCCCAAUCAAACCCUUAAAAAAAAUACCAAGAGGAGCAUUUCCAUGGCAAGGGAGUUUUAGAAGGGGGAACAUACAAAUGAGGAAGGGUCCCCAGCAUGGACAGCUCCAUGCUGUCUUCUUGGAUGUCCCAGGAAGAAUUUCAAGAAAGUAUUUCAACCCCCAGCUCCAAGGAUUCACCUGAGGGCUUGUUCCUAUGGAGUUGAGAAUCUGUAGGAUACCUCCUCCAGGUAACUCUCCCAGAUAUCCCAACCACAGACAAGAAAAUGAACUCAUGAUAACUGGGCACCACUCAGUGCCCUGGUGCUCUGCUUGUGAUAUCUCACUGAAGCCAUGCAACAACCUUGCUGAAUGUGAGGUAGUACCAUCACCCUUGUUAUCCAGGUGAAGAAAUGGAAGCUCACAGAGAUAAAAUGACUUGUCUGGGGUCACACAGCUUUUGGCUCUCUCAGCUACAUCAUAGUGCGUGGGACACACCCAGAGUAAGGCCUGAGGCCACUUUCCGAGGGAACCCAAGCAAGUUCCUUGACACUGUGGGCCUUAGUUUCCCCAUCUGUUCCAUUAAAUCCCAGCUUACUCCUUCAUUGUCCUGGUGGGGGCUUCAGCCAGAGCAUCACCACCUGCCUCUGAUAUAAUGGUGCUUCACAUUUCAUCAGAUUUCAUGUGAACAAAGCCAAACAUCUUUUCUCAGUGCCUCACCUGCCCAGGGAUCCUAGUCCACAUCUAUGCUGUUUUUCUCCACUCUGUCCUUCCAGUGCUUGGCACGCUGUGCCACUUCUCAAAAAACCCUGAUGUUGCCUGCCAUUGGGUUCAAGGCAGAUGAUGUGAUUUCACAGGCUUUCUUCUUCAGCACUAAAUAAGGUGCUUUUGUGGGGCCCUUCCUUUACUUCUGAUGCUUUAGGUUCAACUUUGGAGUUUGUAGACUUGCAGAGAAUUUUCCAUCAAAGCGUACAGGCAGAGAUGCAAACACACACCCUUUUAUAUCUCCAUCCAUCCAUCCAUUCAUUCACCCAUCAAUCCAUUUACUCAUCCAUCCAU